UACGUAGGGAGCAAGCGUUGUCCGGAAUCAUUGGGCGUAAAGCGCGCGUAGGCGGCCCUGUAAGUCCGUUGUGAAAGUCAAAGGCUCAACCUUUGAAAGCCGAUGGAUACUGCAGGGCUAGAGUCCGGAAGAGGCGAGUGGAAUUCCUGGUGUAGCGGUGGAAUGCGCAGAUAUCGUGAGGAAGACCAGUGGCGAAGGCGGAUCUCUGGACAGUUCCUGACGCUGAGGCGCGAAGGCCAGGGGAGCAAACGGG
rnacentral:rRNA from 1 species